AGACCCGUUCUGGAGAGAAAGGGCUGAGAACCCGGAGGCGGCGGCGGCGGCGGCGAGCCGGGGCUGCUGGUUCGCAGGGCGGCUAGCUCGCGAGGAGGCGCGGCCAGAGCGGUGGGACCGGUAACACCAAGAGCCGAGAAGACGCAGGGACCCGGGACCGCGCGCGGGAGGAAACGCGGCGGCCGCCCAAGCUGUCACCUCCAGCCUCUCCCCUCUCGGCCGCCUCUGCCAGCAGCCAGAGCCGGACUCACUGACAAGCCGCAGAGAGAGACACACUGAGAGGGAGAUGAUUAUUAGUUGCGUUGAGUCAUCAGGCAAAGACCCCGAGGGCUCUCCCACAUCUCCCGCAGCAAGAGCCACCGAUCCCCCUUAAGAAGCGUUGACUGUACGGCGGCGCCAGAGGGCCAAACUAAGUUCGGUUUCGGGAAACGCUCUCGGGAGCAGUUCUGUAAAUCCCUGCUGGGAGCAGAGACUGCGAAAAGCUGAGUCCGCCGAUCGUGCCCGGGACAAGGCUGCCUUCCACUCGCCCUCGCCGCAUCUACCUGGUAGGCGGCAUGCGCACGGGCUUA
rnacentral:lncRNA from 1 species